UACGUAGGGUGCAAGCGUUGUCCGGAAUUAUUGGGCGUAAAGAGCUCGUAGGCGGUUUGUCGCGUCUGCUGUGAAAACUCGGGGCUUAACUCCGGGCCUGCAGUGGGUACGGGCAGACUAGAGUGCGGUAGGGGAGACUGGAAUUCCUGGUGUAGCGGUGAAAUGCGCAGAUAUCAGGAGGAACACCAAUAGCGAAGGCAGCUCGCUGGGACGGUACUGACGCUAAGGCGCGAAAGCGUGGGGAGCAAACAGG
rnacentral:rRNA from 1 species